rnacentral:lncRNA from 1 species
GAAAUGAGGAAGCCAAAGUUCCAACAUGGCUCUUGUGGCUAAGAAGACGAAGCUCCAGUUUACCUCAGAGCUUCUUCAAUGUUAUCACAGAAUAUCCGGGAAUAGGAAAAAGAACAGUGUUCAACAGCUCAAAUCCAAGGUGUCCAACCCUCAUACAUGUUGCAAAGAUUAUCUACACUUGUUGCUUGUUUGAGCAGAUAAUCCACUUGUUCCACAAGAUUAUCAAGUUAUGCCUAGAAAAAGCAUUAAACAAGAUUUCUAGAAUAUUUCUCACCUAUAAUUGCUUGUCAAUUGCCACGUCUCUUGAAAUGAGGAAGCCAAAGUUCGAACAUGGCUCUUGUGGCUAAGGAGACUAAGCUCCAGUUUACCUCAGAGCUUCUUCAAUGUUAUCACAGAAUAUCAUGAAAGGAGUUCAGGAGUAGGAAAAAGAAUAGUGUUCAACAGCUCAAAUCCAAGGUGUCCAACCCUCAUACAUGUUGCAAAGAUUAUCCACACUUGUUGCUUGUUUGAGCAGAUAAUCCACUUGUUCUGCAACGCUGAUUUCCCUUGAGGAGAAAUAAAAGCACACAUGAUCAUUCACAUUUAAUACA